rnacentral:lncRNA from 1 species
UAGAUAGUGUUGCCUGCAAUUGUCCCUUGAUCUUUGACUUUAAGAAGCAGCCAUCAACUCCUAUUAAUGGCCGCCAAGUCUAUUUCUAUUUCUUUCUAAGAGCAUCAAAACAAACAUAGAAUUGAUUGAACAAGUCUUUCCCAGCAUCAUCCUUGGUUGUAUCAACCUCCACUAUAGAUCUUAGAUUUGCUUCCAAGAUCUCAGCUGCAUAAUCCCUGAGUCAUGUAAACUGGAGAUCAUACUCAUACUCUAUCC